CGGACAAGGGUAAUCCGAUUGUUUAAUUAAAACAAAGCAUUGUGAUGGUCCUUGCGAAUGCUGACACAAUGUGAUUUAUGCCGAUUGCUAUGCAUGUCAAAGUGAAUAAAUUCAACCAAGUGCGGGUAAACGAUGGGAGUAACUAUGAUUCUCUUAAGGUAUCCAUAUGCCUUGUCAUUUAAUUAGUGACACACAUGAAUGGAUUAACGUUAUUCCCACUGUCCCUAGCCAUUAUCUAGAGAAACCACAUCCAAGGGAAUGAGCUUUG
rnacentral:ncRNA from 1 species